rnacentral:rRNA from 1 species
GACAGAGGAGCCAAGCGUUGUCCGGAUUGACUGGGCGUAAAGCGCACGCAGGCGGCCCGGCGCGUGGGGUGUGAAAGCUGGCGGCUUAACUGCCAGAUGCCAUCCCAUACGGCUGGGCUCGAGCCCUGCAGACGGUCCAUGGAAUUGCCGGUGUAGUGGUGAAAUGCGUAGAGAUCGGCAGGAACACCCAGGGGGAAACCGAGUGGACUGG